CCUACGGGAGGCAGCAGUGGGGAAUAUUGGACAAUGGGCGAAAGCCUGAUCCAGCCAUGCCGCGUGUGUGAAGAAGGCCUUCGGGUUGUAAAGCACUUUCAGUGGGGAAGAAAGCCUUGGGGCUAAUACCCUCGAGGAAGGACAUCACCCACAGAAGAAGCACCGGCUAACUCCGUGCCAGCAGCCGCGGUAAUACGGAGGGUGCGAGCGUUAAUCGGAAUUACUGGGCGUAAAGCGCGCGUAGGCGGUCUGAUAAGCCGGUUGUGAAAGCCCCGGGCUCAACCUGGGAACGGCAUCCGGAACUGUCAGGCUAGAGUGCAGGAGAGGAAGGUAGAAUUCCCGGGGUAGCGGUGAAAUGCGUAGAGAUCGGGAGGAAUACCAGUGGCGAAGGCGGCCUUCUGGACUGACACUGACGCUGAGGUGCGAAAGCGUGGGUAGCAAACAGGAUUAGAUACCCUAGUAGUC
rnacentral:rRNA from 1 species